UACGUAGGGUGCAAGCGUUGUCCGGAUUUAUUGGGCGUAAAGAGCUCGUAGGUGGUUCGGUAAGUCAGGUGUGAAACCUCCAGGCUCAACCUGGAGACGCCACUUGAUACUGCUGUGACUGGAGUCCGGUAGGGGAGCGUGGAAUUCCUGGUGUAGCGGUGAAAUGCGCAGAUAUCAGGAGGAACACCAGCGGCGAAGGCGGCGCUCUGGGCCGGUACUGACACUGAGGAGCGAAAGCGUGGGUAGCAAACAGG
rnacentral:rRNA from 1 species